rnacentral:lncRNA from 1 species
CACCCAUCUGUCAGGACCUUUCCCGCAGUUGUUUCCCCCCACUCAACAAACAAACUUGCUGCAGGUUGAGUUUAAUAGGUUGAGUUCAACACUACAGGCAGAUGCCAGAGGAAGCUUUGAAUAGGAAACUCAAGACUCACCCAGGGAAGAAAGACACCAAGAGAGAGCUGCUGGGCACUGGGACCAACCAGUCCCACUGCAUCUGCUGCCUGCAGCCCGUUAAAUUCCUGGUGAACAACAAGCGCCAGUGUCUGGAAUGCCAGCUGUGCGCCUGUAAGGCCUGAAGCUGCUACGACAAGAAGGAGCGCUGCUGGGUGUGCGACCCCUGCCGCAUGGAGAAUGUAACGCAUAUCUUACAUCUUGCCAAUGUACAAGUUCUACUCCUAAUUCCUACUUGAGGUAUGAAGGCAAGUAGAUAGUCCCUUUCAUCCACCUCUCUGAUAAAUCUUCCACACACUUUGCCAGAUGCAUUUCGCAAACUCCACAUAUCAUACUGUGUGUGAUCAUGAUCCAAGCACUGAAAAAUUUACUUUUACUCUGCACAAAGGCAGAUCCUUCAGAUUUAAACCUUGGUAGGCUACUGUACUUUACAGUGUUUAUCUACAGGUAACUGCUAAAAUAAAGGAAACACUAACAUAAAGUGUCUUAAUAGAGCAUUAGGCCACCAGAACAGCUUCAGUGAGCCUUGGCAUAGAUUCUACAAGUGUCUGGAACUCUAUUGGAGGGAUGCGACACCCUUCUUCCAUGAGAAAUUCCAUAAUUUGGUGUUUUGUUGAUGCUGGUGGAAAAUGCUCCAGAAUCUCCAAUAAGUGUUCAAUUGGGUUAAGAUCUGGUGACAGAGAGACAGAGAGACAGACAGACAGACACAAACUCAGCCUUUAAACCACCUAUGCUCUUCUGAUAUCCCUCUUUCAAAGUCACUGAGAUCUCUUCUAUCCAUGGUAGCCAAAAUAAUGGGCAACUGAGAAUUUUUAUACAUGACCCUAAGUACAAUGGGAUGUUAAUUGCUUAAUUAACUAAGAAACCACACCUGUGGUGAACAUCUGCUUUCAAUAUACUUUAUCUCUUAUUUACUCAAGUGUUUCCUUUAUUUUGGCAGUUAACUAUAUGUAUAGUAUCUAUUGAUGUGUCUAUUUGCAGUGUUGGGAGUAAUUACAUUUAACAAAAGUAAUGUGUUACUUUCCACACAAAGUAAUAUUGUAAAGUAACGCGUUAUAUUACUUUUUUUUUUAAAUGAAAUAAAAAAAUCUCACCCGUUUGUUUGACUGUCAGAGGGAACACGC